rnacentral:rRNA from 1 species
UACAAUGGAUAUCUUGGCUCUUGCAUCGAUAAAUAAUGUAGUAAAAUACGUUACUUGGUGUGUAUUGUAGAAUCCAUCAAUCAUCGAGUCUUUGCAUGCAUGUUGCAGCUCCAUCAUACGAAUUGUAGACUGGAGAAGCGUCCUCAACGACGGACCGAGCCCAAGUCCCUUCGAAGGGGAUGCUAGAGAGGUUGAGAGCCCUAUUAUGCAUGGAUCCUCUCGCAUUAUGAGAUGCUAUCUACAAAUCAGUUUGUUUAGGACUGCGGCCCAAAUCGAGCGGUGAAUUCCAUCCAAGGCUAAAUACCAGCGAGAUACCGAUAGCAAACAAGUACCGUUAGGGAAAGAUAAAAAUGACAUUGAAAAGAGUGUCAAAAAGUGCUUGAAAUUAUCGAGAGGGAAGCGUAUAGGGGUCAGUGACGUGCCCCGAUCAGAGAUAGAAUAGCGAUGAGCUGGUCCAUCGAUCUACUCAGGGCAUGAACUAGCGUGGAUUGGGGGGCGGCCAAAGCCAGAGCUCUCGAUACACUCGUGGAACGCCAUUUACUCAAUUGUGGUAUGAAGCACAUGACACUGGUAUUCUUCGGCAUCUACGCACACUAAACGUUGUCCUAUGGGCACCCCAUUCAACUCGUCUUAAAACACGGACCAAGGAGUCUGACAUAUGUGUGAGUCAACAGGCAAGUAAACCCGUAAGGUGUAAGGAAGGUGAUUUAUGGGAUCCCCCAGAGGGGUGAACCGCUGACCGAACUUGAUCUUUUGAGAAGGGUUCGAGUGAGAGCAUACCUAUCGGGACCUAGAAGAUUGUGAACUAUGCCUGAGCGGGGCAAAGUAGGAGGAAACUCUAAUGGUGGUUCGUAGCAACACUAACGUGCAAAUCAUUCGUCAGACUUGGGUAUAAGGGCGAAAGACUAAUCAAACCAUUUAGUAGCUGGUUUCUUAAGAAGUUUCCCUAAGGAUACCUAGAUCUUGCGUGCGAGUUCUAUUAGGUAAAGCCAAUGAUUAGAGGCCUCAGGGGCACAACGUCCUUGACCUAUUCUCAAACUUUAAAUAGGUAGGGUAGCACGGCUGUUUUUUUGAGCCACGCUAUCGAAUGAAGAGCUCCAAGUGGACCAUUUUGGGUAAGAAGAACUGGUGAUGUAGGAUGGAUACAAAGAUAGGUUAUGGUGCCAAACUGUACGCUAACCUAGAUCCCACAAUGGGUGUUGGUCGAUUAAGAAAGAAGGAUGAUGGUCAUGGAAGUUGAAAUCCACUAAUUAGUAUGUAAAAACUCACCUGCCAAAUCAAAUAGCCCCAAAAAUGAAUGGCACGUAAGCGCACAUCCUACACCUAGCCAUCGUGGCAAGUACAAGGCCCAGAUGAAUAGGAGGGCAUGGCGGUCGCUACAAAAACUUGGGCGCGAUCCUAGGUAGAGAAUCCUUGGUAGAAAAUAUCAAAUGAGAACUUUAAAGACCGAAGCAAGAAAAGGUUGUAUGUGAACGGUUGUUGAAUAUGGUUUAGUCGAUUCUAAGGGUUGGGGGAACCCCGACAGAUAGCGCAUUUCGUGCAUACUCAAAAAGGGAAUCGGGUUCAAAUUCCUAAAUCGGGACAUGUCAGUCGAUGGCAACGUUAGGAAGUGUGGAGACGUCGGAGGAAGCCUCGAGAAGAGUUAUCUUUUUUGUUUAAUAGCCUGCUCACCCUGGAAUCAGCUUAGCCGGAGAAGAGGUCCUGCGGCUGGAAGAGCACCGCACGUCGCGUGGUUUUUGGUAAGCUUUCGGUAGCCUUUGAAAAUUUAGAUUACCGAAUAGCGUUCAUGCCGGGUCGUACUCAUUACCGCAUCAGUUCUCCAUGGUGAACAACCUCUGGUCGAUGGAAUAGUGUAGGCAAGGGAAGUGGGGAAAUAUGGAUCCAUAACUUUGAGAAAAGGAUUGGCUCUGAGGGUUGAUCAUGGGGGUCCUAUUCCCAAACCUAUCAGCUGUCGGUGGACUGCUCGAGUUGCUCACACAAUGAGAGUGGGUCGCCGCAUGCCUGUCGAGGGUCAAACUGGGAAUGGUUCCUUCGGGGGCCUUCCCCGCACAUCGAACAACCAACUCAAAACUAGUACGAACAUGGGGAAUCUGACUAUUUAAUUAAAACAAAGUAUUGCGUUGGUCCAAACAUGUUCACGCAAUGCAGGUGGAAGACAUUGUCAGAUGAGGAGUUUAGCUGGGGCAGCAGAUCUAUUAAAAGAUAAUGCAGGUGUCCUAAGAUGAGCUCAACGAGAAUACAAAUCUCGUGUGGAAAAGAAGGGUAAAAACUCAUUUGAUUCUAAGUUCCAGUAUGAAUAAGAACCGCGAAAUCGUGGCCUAACGAUCUUUAGACCUUCAGAAUUUAAAGCUAGAUGUGUUAGAAAAGUUACUGCGGGGAUUGCUGGCUUGUGGUAGCCAAGAUUUCAUAGCGAUGUUGAUUUUUGAUCCUUCGAUGUCAGCUCUUCCUAUCAUUGUGAAGCAGAAUUCAUCAAGUGUUGGAUUGUUCACCCACCAAUAGAAAACGUGCGCUGGGUGAAGACUAUCGUGAGACAGGUUAGUUUUACCCUACUGAUGAAGGUGUCACAAUAGUAAUUCAACCUUAUACGAAAGAAAAUAUUAAUUCACUCAAUUGGUCAUCGUGCUAGUUUAAAAGGCCAGUAGCACAAAGCUACCAUGUGCUGGAUUAUGACUUAACGCGUCUAAGUCAGAAUCGGGGCUAAAAGUGAUGUAUGCGCUUGUCGUCCAUUUGUUGACCCGCAAUAGGGGCCUCAGCCCCCAAGGGCAUAUGUCAUUGGCUAAGCCAUCAUGGUGGUAGGGUCAUAGUGGCAGCCUUAAAUUACAAUUUCCAUCGAGUGGCAGAUAGAAUCCUUUGAAGAUGACUUAAAUAUAUGAUGGGGUAUUGUAAGUGGAAAGGUGGACUUACUACCAUGAUCAACUGAGAAUCGGA